rnacentral:misc_RNA from 1 species
CCAAACUUGGUCAUUUAGAGGAAGUAAAAGUCGUAACAAGGUUUCCGUAGGUGAACCUGCGGAAGGAUCAUUACCAAAAUCUAGCUGUCUGGUCGAAAGGCCCUGACGCUUCAACCCUUUGUGAACCAAAAAACCUUUCGCUUCGGCAGCAGGUCCCCUGACCGGGUCGUCAGCCUGCCGUUAGCACCAAACACAAAAACUUGCAGUCAAACAUUGUCUGAUAACCAAAUUUUCGAAUGAAAAUUAAAACUUUCAACAACGGAUCUCUUGGUUCCCGCAUCGAUGAAGAACGCAGC